UGAGGAAUAUUGGUCAAUGGACGAGAGUCUGAACCAGCCAAGUAGCGUGAAGGAUGACUGCCCUAUGGGUUGUAAACUUCUUUUAUACGGGAAUAAAGUGAGGCACGUGUGCCUUUUUGUAUGUACCGUAUGAAUAAGGAUCGGCUAACUCCGUGCCAGCAGCCGCGGUAAUACGGAGGAUCCGAGCGUUAUCCGGAUUUAUUGGGUUUAAAGGGAGCGUAGGCGGACGCUUAAGUCAGUUGUGAAAGUUUGCGGCUCAACCGUAAAAUUGCAGUUGAUACUGGGUGUCUUGAGUACAGUAGAGGCAGGCGGAAUUCGUGGUGUAGCGGUGAAAUGCUUAGAUAUCACGAAGAACUCCGAUUGCGAAGGCAGCUUGCUGGACUGUAACUGACGCUGAUGCUCGAAAGUGUGGGUAUCAAACA
rnacentral:rRNA from 1 species